rnacentral:misc_RNA from 1 species
GUUUGAGUUUGACAAAGAUAUUAGUCGAAAUGAUUAUGAUAGCAUUGAGUUUACUAUAAUUGAGAAGGGAAUAGAAAUGCCUAGAAAGGAAGACUCGGAAUCAGAAGAGUUUGAUGUUCAACUUGUUGAUGGUCCUAGAAUUGAAACUAUUAAUGUGGAUGAAAUUAUAAAGGAUGAUGAUAUAGAUCUUGAUAGGAAGAAUAAGCUUCAUUUAGAGGAUAACUUCUGUGAUAAUUAUGUGGAUAUGGUUUCGGUGGAUGACUUCAAACAUGAAGGGAGUAGUUUUUGUAGGGAUCUAGCAUGGAAGAUCUGGAGUUAGCUUUCAAUAGCUUUUUAACUUCAGAAUCUGAAAAAUUGGAAUCCCCACUCGCAAUUGGUGAUUUUUUAGAGCAGGAGAGUUACAUGGAGACUAAAACAAACUACAAGGCUGGUAAAGCGGUAAAGAAAUCUCUCAGCUUGGAUGAAAUCACUGAAUCUGUAGCAAGUGAUUUCUUGAACAUUCUGGGGAUAGAGCAUAGUCCCUUGGGUCUGACUUCACAUGGUGAUCCUGAGUCUCCUAGAGAGCGUCUAUUAAGAGAGUUUGAAAAGGAGGCCAUAGCUUCUGGAAGCUUUAUUAUUGAAUAUGAAGCAGAAGGCAAGCAAGAAGAAUUUGGUUGUAUUGCUCCAGCAGGGUCUGAUUGUGGAGAUCUUCCUGAAGAUUUUGAUUUACAUAAGGCUAUUCAGGCUGCUGAGGAGGAGCACCAAAGGACUAGCCAAUUGUAUAACAGAAGAAGGAAGGCCAAGUUGCUUGAAGAUUUGGAGACUGAAACUCUAAUGAAACAGUGGGGCUUAAAUGAGGAAGCUUUUCAAAGCUCUCCACGCCAUUGCUCAGAUGGAUUUGGGAGUCCAGUUGAGCUUCUCCCUGAGGAGCCUGUUAAAUUACCUCCACUUGGAGAUGGCUUUGGACCUCUUGUCCAGACAAAGGAUGGGGGUUAUUUGCGGUCUAUGAAUCCUUCUAUUUUCAGAAAUUCUAAAAAUGUUGGGAGCUUGAUCAUGCAAGUUUCCCACGCAGUUGUGCUACCUGCAGAAAUGGGUUCUGAUAUUAUUGAGAUAUUACAACAUUUGGCAUCAAUUGGAAUCAAGAGUUUGUCUCAGCAGGCGAAGAAAUUAAUGCCUUUGGAGGAUAUCACUGGGAAGA